UUUAAAUGAAAGAAAUUCAAUCAAUUUAAAAACUGAUGUUGAAAAACUUAGCGUCAUUUAUUUACAACUUAUUAACGAUCACUUUUAAAUAUCAAUAUUCUUAAAUAUUUCUUUUCACAAUACAACCUUAGAAUCCUUUCAUAUAUCAACUUUGGCCUUUUAUAUCUCUUCCUUAUGAAGUCACCUUUAAAUUGACAGAAUUUAUAACCUCACUUUUGAACACGUGAUGAAAAUAAUCAUGUGUUCAAGUAUAUAUUUUAUUAACUUAUUUAUUAAUUAAAUGUUUCAAAAAAAAUUUUAUAUUAAAUUAAAAAUAUUAUAAAAUGUUAUUAUUUAAAUAUUUCUUUAAAAUCUUUUAACUAUUUAUAUGAUGAAAACAAGACUACAUCAUUUUUUAUACAAAAACAUUUAAAAACUUUAUUUACUAACUAAUAUAUUUAUGAAAUUGUCGUCAUGUCAAAACAGUUAUUGAAAUUCUUUCUACGAAAGAUAACAUGUCAGAAAAAUCUUCAAGAAACAAAUUUAUAAUUAAUUUUCGCAUGAUUUAUAUCUGAUGAGGACACGAAAUCGUGUCGAAACGCGUCAUGUGAAAUUUUAUAUAUAUUGAUAAUUAUUAAAAAGCCAAUAGGCCAAAAAAAUU